rnacentral:rRNA from 1 species
UACGUAGGGGGCUAGCGUUGUCCGGAUUUACUGGGCGUAAAGAGCGCGCAGGCGGUCGUUCAAGUCGCGUGUGAAAGCCCCCCGGCUCAACUGGGGAGGGUCACGCGAUACUGAUCGACUCGAAGGCAGGAGAGGGUAGUGGAAUUCCCGGUGUAGUGGUGAAAUGCGUAGAUAUCGGGAGGAACACCAGUGGCGAAGGCGACUACCUGGCCUGUUCUUGACGCUGAGGCGCGAAAGCGUGGGGAGCAAACAGG